GAACUUUCCAGAGAUGGAUUGGUGCCUUCGGGAACUCUGAGACAGGUGCUGCAUGGCUGUCGUCAGCUCGUGUUGUGAAAUGUUGGGUUAAGUCCCGCAACGAGCGCAACCCUUAUCCUUUGUUGCCAGCGGUCCGGCCGGGAACUCAAAGGAGACUGCCAGUGAUAAACUGGAGGAAGGUGGGGAUGACGUCAAGUCAUCAUGGCCCUUACGAGUAGGGCUACGCACGUGCUACAAUGGCGCAUACAAAGAGAAGCGACCUCGCGAGAGCAAGCGGACCUCAUAAAGUGCGUCGUAGUCCGGAUUGGAGUCUGCAACUCGACUCCAUGAAGUCGGAAUCGCUAGUAAUCGUAGAUCAGAAUGCUACGGUGAAUACGUUCCCGGGCCUUGUACACACCGCCCGUCACACCAUGGGAGUGGGUUGCAAAAGAAGUAGGUAGCUUAACCUUCGGGAGGGCGCUUACCACUUUGUGAUUCAUGACUGGGGUGAAGUCGUAACAAGGUAGGCGUAGUGCU
rnacentral:rRNA from 1 species